GUGGAAGAUGUACAAAAGAUGGAGGUUGAAGCAAUAGCAUGCUUCAGGAAGCUGGACAGAAAGGCAUUUAUGCUCCAGGAAGCUGGAAAGAAAGGCAUUAAUGCUUCAGGAAGCUGGAAAGAAAGGCAUUAAUGCUUCAGGAAGCUGGAAAGAAAGGCAUUAAUGCUUCAGGAAGCUGGAAAGAAAGGCAUUAAUGCUUCAGGAAGCUGGAAAAGAAAGGCAUUUAUGCUCCAGGAAGCUGGAAAGAAAGGCAUUCAUGCUUCAGGAAGCUGGAAAAGAAAGGCAUUUAUGCUCCAGGAAGCUGGAAAGAAAAGCAUUAAUGCUUCAGAAGGUGGAAAGAGAGGCAUUGAUGCUCCAGGAAGCUAGAAAGAAAGGCAUUUUCUGCUUCAGGAAGCUGGAAAGAAAGGCAUUUAUGC